UACGUAGGGGGGCAAGCGUUGUCCGGAAUCAUUGGGCGUAAAGAGCGUGUAGGCGGCCAGAAAAGUCCGCUGUGAAAACUCGAGGCUCAACUUCGAGCUGUCGGUGGAAACUUUCUGGCUAGAGUCCGGAAGAGGAGAAUGGAAUUCCUGGUGUAGCGGUGAAAUGCGCAGAUAUCAGGAAGAACACCCGUGGCGAAGGCGGUUCUCUGGGACGGUACUGACGCUGGAGACGCGAAAGCGUGGGGAGCGAACAGG
rnacentral:rRNA from 1 species